rnacentral:rRNA from 1 species
ACUCAAAUGAAUUGACGGGGGCCCGCACAAGCGGUGGAGCAUGUGGUUUAAUUCGAUGCAACGCGAAGAACCUUACCUACUCUUGACAUCCAGAGAAGCCAGCGGAGACGCAGGUGUGCCUUCGGGAGCUCUGAGACAGGUGCUGCAUGGCUGUCGUCAGCUCGUGUUGUGAAAUGUUGGGUUAAGUCCCGCAACGAGCGCAACCCUUAUCCUUGUUUGCCAGCGAGUAAUGUCGGGAACUCCAGGGAGACUGCCGGUGAUAAACCGGAGGAAGGUGGGGACGACGUCAAGUCAUCAUGGCCCUUACGAGUAGGGCUACACACGUGCUACAAUGGCGCAUACAGAGGGCAGCAAGCUAGCGAUAGUGAGCGAAUCCCAAAAAGUGCGUCGUAGUCCGGAUUGGAGUCUGCAACUCGACUCCAUGAAGUCGGAAUCGCUAGUAAUCGUGAAUCAGAAUGUCACGGUGAAUACGUUCCCGGGCCUUGUACACACCGCCCGUCACACCAUGGGAGUGGGCUGCAAAAGAAGUGGGUAGUUUAACCUUUCGGGGAGGACGCUCACCACUUUGUGGUUCAUGACUGGGGUGAAGUCGUAACAAGGUAGCCCUAGGGGAACCUGGGGCUGGAUCACCUCCUUAUACGAAGAUA